AUACCCCUGCAAUGUUCGUGAUUGUGCGACGGCCUUUGCCCUAAGACAUUGUAAAAGGGAGUCCACACUUUUACCGGUGUGCAGGUUCCACAUUUUAAGGAAAAGCCUAAAGGUAAUACUGGACUUCCGCCUUUUGAACCAACGGUUCAAAGCCAUAACAAACAACACGGCAGUUUUGGGGGUAAC
rnacentral:other from 1 species